GACGAACGCUGGCGGCGUGCUUAACACAUGCAAGUCGAACGAUGACGACCGAGCUUGCUCGGUCUGAUUAGUGGCGAACGGGUGAGUAACACGUGAGCAACCUGCCCUUCACUCUGGGAUAACCUCGGGAAAUCGGGGCUAAUACCGGAUAUGAGCUCCUGUCGCAUGGCGGGUGUUGGAAAGUUUUUCGGUGAAGGAUGGGCUCGCGGCCUAUCAGUUUGUUGGUGAGGUAGUGGCUCACCAAGGCGAUGACGGGUAGCCGGCCUGAGAGGGCGACCGGCCACGCUGGGACUGAGACACGGCCCAGACUCCUACGGGAGGCAGCAGUGGGGAAUAGUGCACAAUGGGCGAAAGCCUGAUGCAGCGACGCCGCGUGAGGGAUGACGGCCUUCGGGUUGUAAACCUCUUUCAGCAGGGAAGAAGCGAAAGUGACGGUACCUGCAGAAGAAGCGCCGGCUAACUACGUG
rnacentral:rRNA from 1 species